rnacentral:rRNA from 1 species
UUCUGUAAGCCUGUGAAGGUGGCUUGUAAAGGCUGCUGGAGGUAUCAGAAGUGCGAAUGCUGACAUGAGUAGCGUUAAAGCGGGUGAAAAGCCCGCUCGCCGUAAGCGCAAGGUUUUCUACGCAACGUUCAUCGGCGUAGAGUGAGUCGGCCCCUAAGGUGAGGCAGAGAUGCGUAGCUGAUGGGAAACAGGUCAAUAUUCCUGUACCGAUGUGUAGUGCGAUGUGGGGACGGAUCUUAAUAGGUCAUCCGGGUGUUGGAUAUCCCGGUUUAGGCAGAUGUAGGCGUCUGGUAGGCAAAUCCGCCAGGCAUAUACCGAGGCUGUCGAUCGAGCGAGCUUGCUCGCGAAGUGAUUGAACGAGGUUCCAGGAAAAGCCACUAAGCUUCAGCUGCACACGACCGUACCGCAAACCGACACUGGUGCGCGAGAUGAGUAUUCUAAGGCGCUUGAGAGAACUCGGGAGAAGGAACUCGGCAAAUUGACACCGUAACUUCGGAAGAAGGUGUGCCCUAGUAGUGUGAAGUGAACAACGGAGCAUGAAUGGGUUGCAAAAAAUCGGUGGCUGCGACUGUUUAUUAAAAACACAGCACUCUGCAAACACGAAAGUGGACGUAUAGGGUGUGACGCCUGCCCGGUGCUGGAAGAUUAAAUGAUGGGGUGCAAGCUCUUGAUUGAAGUCCCAGUAAACGGCGGCCGUAACUAUAACGGUCCUAAGGUAGCGAAAUUCCUUGUCGGGUAAGUUCCGACCUGCACGAAUGGCGUAACGAUGGCCACACUGUCUCCUCCCGAGACUCAGCGAAGUUGAAAUGUUUGUGAUGAUGCAAUCUCCCCGCGGAAAGACGGAAAGACCCCAUGAACCUUUACUGUAGCUUUGUAUUGGACUUUGAACAGAUCUGUGUAGGAUAGGUGGGAGGCUUUGAAGUGCGGUCGCUAGAUCGCAUGGAGCCAACGUUGAAAUACCACCCUGGUGUGUUUGAGGUUCUAACCUAGGUCCAUCAUCUGGAUCGGGGACAGUGCAUGGUAGGCAGUUUGACUGGGGCGGUCUCCUCCCAAAGCGUAACGGAGGAGUUCGAAGGUACGCUAGUUACGGUCGGACAUCGUGACGAUAGUGCAAUGGCAUAAGCGUGCUUAACUGCGAGACUGACAAGUCGAGCAGAUGCGAAAGCAGGACAUAGUGAUCCGGUGGUUCUGUAUGGAAGGGCCAUCGCUCAACGGAUAAAAGGUACUCUGGGGAUAACAGGCUGAUACCGCCCAAGAGUUCAUAUCGACGGCGGUGUUUGGCACCUCGAUGUCGGCUCAUCUCAUCCUGGGGCUGUAGCCGGUCCCAAGGGUAUGGCUGUUCGCCAUUUAAAGAGGUACGUGAGCUGGGUUUAAAACGUCGUGAGACAGUUUGGUCCCUAUCUUCCGUGGGCGCUGCAGAUUUGAGGAAGCCUGCUCCUAGUACGAGAGGACCGGAGUGGACG